rnacentral:rRNA from 1 species
GGCGACGAUGCGUAGGGGUUCUGAGAGGAAGGUCCCCCACACUGGUACUGAGACACGGACCAGACUCCUACGGGAGGCAGCAGUGAGGAAUAUUGGUCAAUGGCCGCAGGGCUGAACCAGCCAAGUCGCGUGAGGGAUGACGGUCCUAUGGAUUGUAAACCUCUUUUGUCAGGGAGCAAAGGGCGCCACGUGUGGCGCUUUGCGAGUACCUGAAGAAAAAGCAUCGGCUAACUCCGUGCCAGCAGCCGCGGUAAUACGGAGGAUGCGAGCGUUAUCCGGAUUUAUUGGGUUUAAAGGGUGCGCAGGCGGAAUGUCAAGUCAGCGGUAAAAUUUCGGGGCUCAACCCCGUCGUGCCGUUGAAACUGGCGUUCUUGAGUGAGCGAGAAGUAUGCGGAAUGCGUGGUGUAGCGGUGAAAUGCAUAGAUAUCACGCAGAACUCCGAUUGCGAAGGCAGCAUACCGGCGCUCAACUGACGCUCAUGCACGAAAGCGUGGGUAUCGAACAGGAUUAGAUACCCUGGUAGUCCACGCA